GAGUCCGCUUGCAAUACCAUAGUUGAUGCCAGAAAUGCCGGCGGCCGCACUUUUGAUGCAUUUGCAAGCUGCUUGCCGGUCUGGUGUUGUUUGGGCGGCGGAGUUGAGAGAUUUUAUGCCGCCGCAGCAACCUGGGGGAACGCCACCAGCACCAUUCCCUGUCAAGUAACCAAUGCAGGGUGCGAGGGAGCUUGUGACUUGACCACAGGUUACGGCCCCUUGAGCCAGGGGUGCACCCACCACCAUGCACAACACCGCCACACAUGCAAGCUUAAGGGACAUUGAGCUAGCCAUAUCGAUUAAUCACAAGAAAAACAAACUUGUAAGGAAAAUGCUUGCUUGGAGUAGUAGUACUAUUGCUGAUUGUCGUGGUUAGGGCUUGAGGGUAGGAGGGUUUUUAUAGCCAAAAGUAGUAGCGGGUGAUGUCUGAAUUUUACUUUCCUAGCUAUUAGGUAAGUUGAGAUUAUCCGAUCCAAACAUUAACACACCACAUUAAAAGUUGAGACCAUUCAAUUAGGUUCAACUGCCAACCUACGUGAUUAUUGUUUUCUUUCAAUACAAUUAAAACCAGCGUCCAUUUGAUUUCACUCAAUCAUGCCUCCACAGCUAGGACUCAAAUAUUGGUUUAACUUUUUUCUAGGUGUUUUCUUAUAAACAUGAGAUUUACAUUUGAUGUAUUUAUAAAUGCAUUUAUUGUCAGAAUGAUACCAUUUUAUUAAAAGUAAUUUGAUUUAUAAUUGUUUGUAUAUAUACUUUUAUAUAUUAAGUCUUUAAUUGAAUUGGUAUUACGAUUCACCCAAGCAUCUAUUUAAUUGAAAAUUUGUUAAAAUAUUCAUAUAACAAAUAUUAAUAUUAAUAUAAAUGUAUUUUUAUUUUUAUUAUAAAUAAAACUAUAAUAAGAUUUAAACUUAUGACUCAUAAAUUUUACUCUUUUUAACUUAACUAUUUCAACUAAAAUUUCAUUUAGUUUUAAUAUAAAUUUUUAUAAAUAUAUUAUUUACAUGAAUUUUCCUUUUCCAGGCGGUAUGCCAUGGAACUAAUAUAAAAUAUAAACAAAUGGUUAUUUUGUUAUUUUCAAUGGAAAAAAAAAACUUCACAAGAUUAGGACACAUGCAUGGUUUUUUUAAUAUAUAUAUAUAUAUAUCAUGCAACAUUCUAAAUCUAUUUAUAGAUUAUUUUGUUGAUUGAAUUUUUAUUUUUUUUUAUUUUGGUAAUUAUAUAAAACUAAAUAUUUUCUUCGCGCAAUGUUAAGAGCAGUUUGAAAUUUAAAAGAAGUGUGGAUUCUAAUAAUAAAUUUAGUUAUCUAAUGUUUACAUAUUUUAUUAAUUUGGUCUUAAAUAUAAAAAUUAAAUUCAACAAAAUUAGCCCUCAAUGUUUACAAAAUUUUUCAUUUUAAUUCAAAUUCUAAAAUAAUCCAAUAAAUUUAGCUCUCAACAUUUACAAAAUGAAAGGAUUUGAUUUUUAAAAUUUUAAUUUUUUUUUUUAAAAACCCAAAACACAAACCUAAAUAAACUGAAAAAGAAGAAGGAAUAAUUAUCAUCACCACGAUCUAAUCUCUCAACUUUAAAAUAAGACUUCAACUUCGGUUUAACCCCAAGACAAGGCGAAACAUUGAAAGUAAGUGCAGCGGAUGCCAUUGAUUCUCCUACCUUUUGGCUAAACACAUAAAUUUGAACAACUUCAUACAUAACUAGCAGCAGUACUAAAAAAUCAUUAAUACUAUAUUUUCAAGUACAAGAAAUUGAAAAAAGAAUCACGGGUAGAGUACAAAAAUGAAAUUUGGUGUGAACCUAGAUUAACAAAACAAGGUUCACGGUUUCUCAAAAACACAAUACUAAAUUUUUAGAAUUUCUUGUGAAGAUCAAGCAAUGAGACAAAUACUGAAAUUGGCAAUGCCUUAAUAGCAAAUAAUAAUUCAAACCAAUGUAGAAAAAAGAUGAAGAAGAAGAAGAUAGGAAAAGAAUUUUUAGUUUACAUUAAAAGCCUUGAAAAGGUAGACCGAUAGGAUUGAUUGUUUUGAAUAUUACUCAACUUUCUCAUUAAUUCUUGUACUAUUAUGGCUAAGUGUGUUUUUAGAUGGUAAUGAAUUUUUUUAAUUGUUAAUAAUUUUUACAAUUAUUACACUUGAUUUGGCAGUUGUUUUUCUUUUUAAUUUACAAAAUUUUAAAAAAUUAAAAAUUUCUAUUUUGUAAAUGCUAAGAGCUAAAUUUAUUAUUAUUUAUUUUAGAAUCUAAACUAAAGUGACAAAUUUUGUAAAUAUUUGGUGUUAAAUUUAUUGGAUUUUUAUAUUUAAAAUCAAAUUGAUAGAAUGUGUAAAGAAAGUUAAUUUUUUUAUUAGACAAAUAAAAAAUAACCCAUUUCAACACUUCCGAAAAAUUUUCAAACGGCCGUUAACAUUUAGUGAUGAAAAUAUUUGAUUUCAUAUAGUUUAAUAAUUAAAAUAAAAAUAAUUAAAAAUUUAGUAAUCAAAGUAAAACACAAGUGAUAUUAUUCUAGUGAUCAUUUCUGUACUUGACCCUAAUUUUUUUUUCAAAACACUGUUAAAAAACGAUUAAUUUCUCGUUUUGGCCGGAGUUAAAAUUUUUAAUAUAUUUGUUUUUAUUAAAUUUAAAAAUUAUAAUUUUACAUAAUAUAUUUUUGAUAGAAUACAUAUGAUAUAAUUUUAAUCAGUGACACCUGUUAAAGCUUGUUAGAUCUCCUGUAUCUCUUUCAAUCUGGUGGUAAAUGAAGCAAUCAAUGAGUAUUACAACCAGCCACAUGUCAUUCAAUUCACAUUAUAUCAAUCUUUUCCCUUUUCUCUCAUUUUGGUAGUUAAUUCCUUUUUUUGUCAUCGAAAUUAUAUUUUUUUCUCAAAUUGAUAAUUUCCUUAAUCCGUUAAGUUUGUUAAAAGAAACCUUAAUCUUAUUUAAAUUAUAUCUUUUUUUUUUUAUUUUGAUACUUAAACAUUUUUGUCACAUGUGGUAUGUAAUUUAUUUUUUCUUAAGUUGUUAGUUUAAUUAUUACUCAAAUAGUUAAGUCUAUUUAAAAAAAGAUAACUAUUUAAAAAUUACCAUAUUCGAACUAGCUAGGCCAUUAGUUCCUGGUUUAAUCAGUUUAUCUAGUUUGAUGAAAUCAAUUAUUAAAAAUUCAUAAAAAUAAAAAUGUUAAAAAAUAGAGAAAACUAGCUCAACUAGUUUUUUUUUUAAGCUCGACUCAAUCAAUCUGUAUCAGUUUGUAGGUUAAUCGGUUCAAGCCCUAUCUCCAAACUAGUAUCCCAGUUGGUUCCUAGUAUUAAGGGUGAGCAAAAUUUGAAUCGACUCGAAAAAAUUUAAAAAAGUUCAAAUUUUGAAUUAUUUGAAUCGAGUUAAUCGAAUCAACUCGAUUUUUUUUUAAUUUCAAGUUCGAGUCGAGUUGAGUUUUUGAAUUCAAAUGACUCGAAUAAUUCGAUUAAGCCGAAUACCAAACUAUAAUAUUUUACAUUUUACCUCAAACCCCAAACCCUUUUACUUUUCCCCCAAAACUUUACUCAUUCCUCCUUGUCUGCCCCUGUAACGCCCCAAAUUUUGAAUUGUUACUGUUAGUUUCUAUUUAUAAGUAAGUAUUUGCUUCAGUGGUUAAGUGUUAUGUGUUGGUGUUUGGAUCGGGGGUUCAAGUUACACUUUUAGAGAAUUUUAUUAUUCUUUUGUUUCAACUCUUAUCCUUGAAUGCUUGAAUUAAGUUUGUAUCUGCAUUAAUUUGUGUCAAGAAUGAGUCUUCUAGUUUAAUGGUUAAGUUUUGUAUUACCUAUGGUCUCGUGUUCGAGUCUCUGCGUAGGCAAUAAAGAAAUAUUUUGGCAUGCUAUCGGGAAAUCAGUUUUAUUUUAAUAAUUAUUUUUAUUUAAAACUUAUUUUUAGUUUUUUUUAUUUUGGUUCUUCUCCUUCCUUACUGUUCAUUUCCUUCUUCUUUUUUCUCCUUUUGUAACACCCCUAACUCGAAUCCGUCGCUGGAACAGGGUUAGGAGUAUUAUUGAAGUUUACAAUUUAAACAGGCAGAAAAAUUAAACAUUUCAUAACAUAUAGCAUUCAUGUUAGAAACCAAUCAUAAUUAUGCAUAUUGUCCCUAAUACGAGCCCUCGAGGCCCAAAAUACACCUUAGAAAUAAUUCGGGACUAAAUUGAAAAUUCGGAGCAUUUUUUAGAAACUUAUAAAAUUUUUAAAACUACAGGGGUCACAUGGCCGUGUGGCUAGGUUGUGUGACUCAUAUGGCCAACAGACACGCCCAUGUCUUAGACCGUGCGGGUAUUCGAAAUAGGGACACACGGUCGUGUCCCAGCCAGUGUCCAUGCCCGUGUAACUCACUAACUUGGGCCACACGGUCAAGCCAUACGCCCGUGUGCCAGGCAUUGUGAGCAUACUAACUUGCAUUCUUUAAAAGAUACAGGGGACACACGGCCAUGUCACCUGACCGUGUGUGACACACGCCCGUGUCUCUGCCCGUGUGGACAAAAAUAGGCUAUUUUUCAAGUCAUAAAUAUUCAUGUAUUCUUUAAAAGAUACAGGGGACACACGCCCGUGUCUCUGCCCGUGUCUCUGCCCAAUUUGGUACCAACCUAAACACAACAAUUUGCAUAUAACCAAGUCAUAAAUAGGCAUCCAAAACCAGCCAAAAUCAAGCUUAAAACAUGUAAUAUCAUCACAUACAACCAAUAUGCCCUUAGGCACCUCAAAUGACAACUUAUAAUAUUAAUAUUCAUGUAUUCAAUAUAGCCAAAUGUAUAACUCACUUAUAUGCAUAUUUUCAUCCAAAGUUUAUUAAGCAAAUUUACAUCAUUUCUUACCAAAUUACUUACCUUCCAAAACAUAUUAUUUGGUGCUAAAAUGUAUUUAACAUACUAACAUAUUUAACUUAUAUGCCUUACAUAUCCAGACACCAAUUCAUGAUCAAUUCUUCACAUUCCAAAACACAUAUAUGAAAUGCACAUUAGGUUACCUUUUUACCACUCUUUAUUCAAUCAUGAACCAAACUACAUGUCAACCAUAAUAAGCAAAAUAUGCACAUAUCCAAAAUUCCAUAACACAAACAAAACAAAUGGCUAAUCUCAACAAAACACAUAUAAGCCAACAUUGGCCAAACUAAUCUAUACAUGCCAUUAUAACCGAAAUUAAACAACCGAAUGUACCAAAAGAGCCAAUGGAUAGUGUGAUAUAGCUCCGACAAGCUUUCAACCAGAACGAGCUUUCGAAUCACUAAAAACACAGAAAAUAACACAGAGUAAGCAUUCAAGCUUAGUAAGUUCAUAUAGCAUAUAAUUUAACUUACCAUUUAGUCACAUUUAAGGUAAGCAUACAAAACAUAUCCAAACUCAAUUAGGAUAAAAGCCUCAACACAUAUCCUCAUCAACCAUGUUAGUCAUGUAAUUCAUAUAAAUAUCAAGAAACAUGUAUGAGCUCAACAAUAAUCAAACUUGCAUGUACAUAUAAUUUCCACAUCAUGUAUUUACAUAUCAUGUACAAAUCAUUUUCAUAUAUCUCAUGUAAAUACAUGUAGUAGUUUGUAUUGAACUCAUGUAAUAUCAUAACAGAACAGUGCCCGUUGAACCAUUUAGAUUAUUGUUGGAUACGCGGAUAGUACACAUGAGGUGUACUGAACUGUAAUUCAUCAAUUCAUGUACAUGUAUGCUCAUAUGAGCUAUAAACAGUAAGCUCCUCUGAGAUGAAUAACAAUAAGCUUGUACGAGCUGAAUAUCGGUAAGCUCAUAUGAGCUGAGUAUCGGUAAGCUCAUAAGAGCUGAAAUCGAUAACCCUAAUGACAUGUUUACCAAGCCAUGACAUUCCACUAACACAUUUAACCUUUAAAAUUAUUUCAAUUUACAAGUUUAAGAAAGAACAUAAAAGAUGAUACUUGGCUUUAUUUUACUAAAUUUUGUUAUUUACUUAAUUACUUAUUUAACCUUUAAAAUCAUUUCAAUUUACAAGUUUACUAAGCCAUGACAUUCCACUAACACAUUUAAGGGUUAUUUACCAUAUAAGGACCUCUACUUUAAAUUUUUAUAGCUAUUUAAUACCUUUAGCUAUUAGAACUUUACUUUUACACUUUACGCGAUUUAGUCAUUUUUAUCAAAUUGAACAUGUAAACGGUAAAAUUUCUUAACGAAAUUUUCAUAUGGUAAUAUUAUCAUGUUUUCGACCAUAAAAUAAUAAUAAAAUAAAAUUUUUUACUUCAUAUUUGUGGUCCCAAAACUACUAUUCUGAUUUCACUGAAAAUGGGUUGUUACACCUUUCUUGCUUGAUUGCUUCCGUAAGUUUGCUAUCGUGCUUAAUUGGGCAUUCUGUGUGGUUUCUUACAUUGAUUGCAAGGAUAUUGCGUAAGUUAUGUUGUUGUUUUUUACCUAUUUUUUCUAGACUUCGUCUGUUUCGUCGAGGUUAGAUAUUACUGUUAAUGGUUGUAAAAUCUCGUUAAUAGUUCCAAUGGAUCUUCUUUUAGGAAAAGGUUUCAAAAGUAACAUUUCCCUGUGAGAUUAGGUCCGAAUUGUUGUUGCUUGCUUGUCAGUAAUUGAAAAUUUCUAUUUUGGAUAGCUGCGUCGAAGUUUUCGACGAACGUUAGUUUUGAGUGCUAAUUUUGGCAUUUUGAGUUGAUUUAGUCAUUUAAUUCGUCAAUUAAUUGUCGUUUUAGGUUUCAGAUUCUUGUGUGUUGCUUCUACAUCGAAACUACAUCAAGUGUGUAACGAAAACUCAUUUUUCUAUGAUUUACGAAUGCUAGAAAACAUGGCUGUUAAUCACACGACCGUGUGUUAGGCCAUGUAACUUACUGUUUAUGUAUUAAAGUCACCGAGCCAAGGACGUGGGCGUGUGUCCUAGUCGUGUAACUUACUAUUUGUGGAUUGGAGUCACACAGGCUAGGGACACGUUUGUGUGUCCAGACUGUGUGAAGGAAAUUUUAUGAAUUGAGUCACACAAGCGUGUGCUUGACUAUGUCAUAGACCGUGUAACUCACUUUUUUGAGCCACACGAUCGUGUGCCAGGCCGUGUGAUAGAUCGUGUGCUACACGGGCCAGCCUUCCGGGACAUGUGAAUCCACACAAGUGUGUGGGUCAAAAUUUCAAAUUUUUUAUUAGGGCCGUAAACAUCAUUCCAGUCAAACGUAGGCCUACUGUAGGGUCUGGAUGAUCUGAUUUGGGUUAUAAAACCCAUUGACUAGUUAUCUGUUUCUGUAUAAACUGUUAUUUUAUAUACAUCAUAGAAUUGUAAACUAGAGAGUAGUUGUAUUCUGUAUUAAUUGAGUAUAACCUGAAAUUUGUAACAUCGUAUGCUUAUAUCUGUAUCUGUAACAUUGCAUCUGCAUUGGGGUUGGGAUUGAAUAAGGAGGAAGUUAUGGCAGUUAAAUAAUCUGCUAAGACUGGUGGCUAAGACACGUAAAUGUAUCUAAUUUUGGUGACUUUCGCAUUCUGUCCUAGCAAUUAGUCUGCAACCUUUUGAACGUGACAUAUGGUCACUAUGUGGUGUGUAGGGACGAUACCCUUUUUGGUGUGUAGGGUUGGAUGCAGAUGGUGUGUAAUUGACAUAUUCUACUCUAUUUCCGUAUAUAAUUCUGAGAACUGUUCUAACUUUAAGAAAUUGAAGAUCUAUUUUGUUGUUUCACUUAAUAAUAAUAUAAGUUAUACGCUAUGUAUAACACCCUUUACCCGAGACCGUGGUCGGAGUCGAGCAUGAGGUGUUACUUGACUUAACUUAAAAGUUCAGGGCAUAAAAAUUUACUUUCAAAAUUAAUUUCACCAUUCACAAUAAAGUUGUCCACCUGAGCAGCAGUCACUAAAUUAAUUAUAACUCAAGCUAAGAAACUCGAAAUUUAGAUUCGUAAAUUUUCCCUGAAACUAGACUCAUAUAUCUAUUCACAAAAAUUUUUCAGAAUUUUUUAUUUGACCAAUUAGUACAGUUUAUUAGUUGAAGUCUCCCCAGUUUCACUAAUCGACUAUCCUGACCUCUCGUCACUAAAAUUCAAUUAUCUCAUUAUACAGACUUGACAUGCUGAUUCCACUUAUUUAUACUUAAAAUAUACUCAUUAAGGAAUUUAAAAAUAUAAUUUAUAACUCAUAAUUCUAUUUGUACAAUUUUUAAUGAAUUUCUAAAGUCAGAACAGGGGACUUCAGAAUCAUUCUGACUCUGUCUCACUAAAAUUAAAAUAUCUAAAAGUAUAUAACUCUUUUGCUUACUCUAUUGCUUUCAUGUGAAAGUAGACUCAUUCAGAUUUAAUUUCAUCUCUCGCUAAACAUAUAAUUCUAUUUCUACAAUUUUUGGUAAUUUUUCAAAGUUACAUCAAUGCUGCUGCCCAAAAAUAGUUCCAUUGAAAUUUUUAAAAAAAAAUUCAAUAUAACCCCUUUAUAAUUAUCUAACCUUCCCUGCAAAUUUCAAAUCACAACCAAUUUCAGUAUUUCAACUACUUCACUUAAAUACUAAUGAAGUUCAACUAAUCAACCAUUUCAAACUAAAAACAUGUAUAGUUCAAUGUUUAACACAACCAUCACAUUCAAAUUUAUUCAUUCUAUUACUUUUUACUUCAAUUCCCUAUACAUGUCAUAUAAAUCCAAAAAGUUGUUUAACAAAAUCUACAGGAGUAAAUCUGGAUAGUGUGAUUCUUGGUGUAGAUCUGAUCCUCCGAAUGUAUAAAUACGUCAAUCUACAAGAAUCAAUAAACACACAAUUAAGCGUAUAGAAAGCUUAGUAAGUUCAUAGGCACCAAACAUAAAUCUUACCAAACAUUUAUACACUUAUACAUUAUACACCAUUACUAAGUUUACCUGUCAACCACAAUCUUUGGUGAGUUCCUUGGUAUAAACUCACUACUACUUAUUCUUUUACCAUAAUUCCUUUGGGCCCAUUUGUCACUUACCAUCCUUGAUCAAAAUUAAGGAACGGUUACGGAAAAUUGAGUACUUCACUUUCACUUUGCCAUAGUAUAACUAUGGUCUUACGUAUGAUCAAACAUCACUUGUCCUUGAUAAGAUAAGUGUAGCUAGGCAACCACUUAUCACUUUGUCACUUGAUCAGAUAAGUGCAGCUAAAGCUACCAUUUAUCACUUUAUCACCACUUAUCACUUGUUCUUGAUUAGAUAAGUGUAGCUAAAGUUACCACUUAUCACUUUGUCACCACUUAUCACUUGUUCCUAAUCAGAUAAGUGUAGCUAAAACUACCACUUAUCACUUUGUCACUUGAUCAGAUAAGUGUAGCUAAGCUAUCACUUAUCACUUUGUCACUUGAUCAGAAGUACUCAAAUCCGGUGUUCUGCUCAAUUUGAUCAUUUAUUCAGUUUUCACAUUUUUAUUUUAUUCUCAUUUCAUCAAUAAAUAUAUAUAUUUCAUCAUACAUUAUAUAAUUCAUGAAAUUAACAUUUAAUCAUUAAAUUUUAGCCAUAUGAACUUACCUGGGUUGAUUUGCUGAAUUUGUAAAAGUUUAGGGACUAAUCAGCUACUUUUUUUUUCCUCGACUUGUUUCGGGUUCUCAAUAUGAUUCAAAUAUAUGAAAAACCAACUUGGAGGGACUCUUCAAUGGUGUUUUUUGCUAAAAAAUAUGAGGAAUUGCCUAGAAACACUUUUAGUUAAGAUUUUUAUUUGUUAUUUUUUACAAAAUUUCCAAUUUUGCCCUUAUUACAUCACUUUUUCAAAUUUUUCUUCUCUUAUGUCGUCUCAACUAUUCCAUAUUGGCAUAUUUAUGCCUUAAGUCCCUCCUUAUUUACCACUUAAGCUAUUUAAUCACUUUUAACAAAUUUUACAUUAUUUUCAGUUUAAUCCUUUUUAAUUAAUUAACCACCCAAACGUUAGAAUUUUCUAACGAAAAUUUAAUACCAACUCAAUGACACUCCAUAAAUGUUUCUAAAAAUAUUUAUGGCUCGAUUUAUGAGGUUGAGGUUUCAAUACCUCAUUUUCGAUUCUAAUUAUUUUAAUAUUUAUUCUUAGUACAUUAUUCACUAUUUCAAAAAUUUUCCUAACUUCGCAUUUAACUUAUACUCACUAAAUUAAUAAUAUUUUCUACUCAUUUGUCAAAUUUAAUGAUCUCGAAUUACCAUUCCGACACCACUGAAAAUUCAGGCCAUUACAACUCUCCCCCCAUUUUGGAAAUUUCAUCACCGAAAUUUCGUACCUGAAAAUAAAUUCGGAUACUGAAAUCUCAGCAAUUCCUCUGUUUCCCAGGUUGCCUCCUCAGAUCCAUGUCGAUUCCAUAACACCUUAACUAGUGGUACAUGUUUAUUCCUCAACUCUUUAACCUUCUGAGCUAAAAUUUUCACCGGUUCCUCUGAAUAAGUCAUGUCAGGUUGAAGCUCUAUUUCCGUAUGAGGAAUUACAUGUGAUGGAUCUGAUCUGUACCGUCUCAACAUAGACACAUGAAACACAUUAUGAAUCUUUUCAAGUUCCGGGGGCAAAGCUAAUCUAUAGGUUACCGGACCGAUUCUUUCAAUGAUUUCAUACGGCCCGAUAAAUCGUGGGCUGAGUUUCCCCUUUUUGCUGAACCGCAAAACUUUCUUCCACGGUGACACUUUCAAAAAUACACGAUCACCCACAUUAAACUCUAUAUCCCUUCUCUUCAAAUUUGCAUAUGAUUUUUGCCGAUCGGAGGUAGCUUUUAAACAAUCUCGAAUAAUACGAACUUUUUCUUCAGUUUCCUGAGUCAAUUCCACUCCCACUAGUUUCGAUUCACUUAAUUCAGACCAAUAUAAUGGAGUUCUACACUUUCUUCCAUACAAAGCUUCAAACGGUGCCAUUUUAAUGCUAGUUUGAUAACUAUUAUUAUAAGCAAAUUCGGCUAAAGGUAAAUACCUUUCCCAGCUACCGCCGAACUCAAGUAUACAACACCUUAACAUAUCUUCUAAAAUCUGAAUCACUCGCUCUGACUGCCCAUCUGUCUAGGGAUGAAAAGCUGUGUUGAAAUUUAAUUUGGUGCCUAAAGCUUCCUGUAAUUUACUCUAAAAUCUCGAGGUAAAUCUCGGAUCUUGAUCUGAAAUAAUAGAUGUCGGUACCCCAUGUAACCUCACUAUCUCAGACACAUAUAACUCCGCUAACUUUUCAAGCUGAUAAUCUGCUCUGACUGGAAUAAAAUGUGCUGACUUAGUUAACCGAUCAACAAUCACCCAUAUUGAAUGUUUCUUCUUCAGAGUUACUAGUAAUCCAGAUACAAAAUCCAUCGUAACAUGUUCCCAUUUCCAAUCUGGAAUCAUAAUGGGCUGUAACAACCCUGUCGGCACUUGAUGCUCAGCUUUCACCUGUUGACAGAUCAAACAUCUUGCUACAUACUCAAAGAUUUCCCGUUUCAUUCCGGGCCACCAAUACAUUUUCUUCAAAUCACAAUACAUUUUUGUACUACCCGGGUAAAUAGAACACAUACUACUGUGAGCCUCUGAUAAAAUAUCAUUUUUCAAGUUUAAAUUAUUCGGAAUACAUAUUCUAUUACGAUAAUAUAACAUACCAUUUUCAUCAAUGGAGUAUUCUGAGCUUAACUUAUCUUGAACCAUCUGUCGCUUUAUCAUCAAUUUUGGGUCAUCAUCCUAUAACUCCCGAAUCCGUUGAAAGAACACGGGUUUAGCCUUUAAUUCUGCUAGUACAGAACCAUCCUCAUUAAUAGAUAAAUGAGCAUUCAAUGCCCGUAGUGCAAAUAAUGAUGAUUUCCGACUAAGCGCAUCUGCUGCGGCAUUUGCUUUCCCUGGGUGAUAGUCAAUGACAAGAUCAUAAUCUUUCAGCAACCCCAACCAUCGUCUCUGUGUCAAAUUUAACUCUUUCUGAGUCAUUAAAUACUUCAAGCUUUUAUGAUCAGUAUACACGUAACAUUUCUCACCAUAUAAGUACUCUCCAUAUCUUCAAAGCAAACACGAUCGCUGCCAAUUCCAAAUCAUGUGUAGGAUAAUUCUUGUCGUGCGGUUUCAGUUGCCAAGAAGCAUAUGCCACCACUUUGCCUGACUGAAUAAGUACACAGCCCAACCCAUUUACAGAUGCAUCACUAUAUACUACAAACGGUACACCCGAUUCUGGUUGAGUCAACACUGGAGCCUCUGUCAACAUCUUUUUCAACUGAUCGAAACUCCGCUGACAUUCAUCUAACCAUAUAAAUUCAACAUUCUUUUGUAGCAAUCGAGUUAACGGUAAGGUAAUCAUUGAGAAAUCUUUGACAAAUCGACGAUAAUAACCUGCCAAUCGUAGAAAACUCUGCACUUCAGUCACAUUCUUCGGAACUUUCCAAUUUAUCACUGCCGCUACCUUACUUGGAUCCACUCUUAUUCCAUCAGCUGAUACAAUAUGACCCAAAAAUGCAACUUCAUGGAGCCAAAAUUCACAUUUGCUGAAUUUGGCAUACAAUUGUUUCUCCCACAAAGUCUGUAAUACAAUCAUUAGAUGUUGUGCAUGUUCGGACUCUGUCUUUGAAUAAAUCAAUAUAUCGUCAAUGAACACAACCACAAAUCUAUCCAAAUAUGACUGAAAAAUUCUAUUCAUCAAAUCCAUAAAAGCAGCAGGGGCAUUGGUUAAACCAAAUGGCAUCACCAAAAAUUCAAAAUGACCAUAUCGAGUUCGAAAGGCAGUUUUCGGCACUUCACACUCUUUAACUUUCAACUGAUAAUACUCGGAUCGAAGAUCUAUCAUGGAAAAUACUGUAGCACCUUUCAACUGAUCAAACAAAUCAUCAAUAUGAGGCAAAGGAUUUUUAUUCUUUACUGUUACCUUAUUCAACUGUCUGUAAUCUAUACACAGUCUUAAAAAACCGUCCUUCAUUUUCACAAACAAGACAGGUGUACCCCAGGGCGACAUACUCGGUCUGAUGAACCCUUUAUCUAAUAACUCCUGCAGCUGCGCCUUCCGUUCUUUUAACUCGACUGGAGCCAUUCUGUAUGGUGUCAUUGAGAUAGGAGUUGUUCCGGGGAUCACAUCAAUUACAAAUUCAACUUCUCUAUCAGGUGGUAGACCGGGUAACUCUUCAGGGAACAUAUCAGGGAAUUCAUUCACCAUUGGCACUUGUUCGAGCUUCAAACCAGAACCCUGAGUAUCCAGGAUAUAGGCCAAGAAUGCUUCGUUGCCUUUGUGUAAUAACCUCUGAGCAGAGAGAGCUAAAAUAAUUCUGACUGUAUCACCCAGAUUUUCAGACCCAACUGAGAUUAUAUCUCCCGUUUGACAUUUCAAACUGAUUUGUUUAUCACGAUAAUUCACUACCGCAUCAUGUCUCAUUAACCAGUCCAUCCCCAGAAUAAUGUCAAAUUCCCGAAAAGGUAACAACAUCAAAUCAGCGAGGAAUUCAUAGCCUUUCACUUUCAGUGGACAAUUACGACAUAUCAAAUUAACCAUCACACUUUGACCUAAUGGGUUUGUGACUUGUAUAUCAAAUUCAGUGGACUCAACAGAUAAUUUCUUUUUAGAUGCUAACAUAGUGCAAAUAUAUGAAUGAGUAGAUCCAGGGUCUAUCAAUGCAUAAACAAUAACAUCAUAAAGAUAGAAAGUACCAGCAAUUACAUCAGGAGCCGUAGCCUCUUUCCUUGCUCGAAUGGCGUAGGUACGUGCUGGUGCUCUAUUCUCUGAUCGACCAACUGAUUCCCUCGUACCCGAACGGGUAGUCCCUGUAGCACUGCUCUGGCCCGAACGUCUACUUUUUUGGGGAAUGGUUCUCUGUAUUUCUUUCUGUUCCACUUCAUCUUUUUACAGUCGGGAACAAUCUCGAAUAAGAUGAUUAGUACCCUCACAUUUUUAACAAGCCCCUAUCUUGGUCCUGCAUUCUCUGAAAUGAUAUCUUCCACAAUAUUGACACUUAGGCCGGGGAGCAUUCUGAACACUGCUCACACUUGCUGGAGGUCUAUCGAAUACCCUGAAAUCAGAUUGUCUUGGUCUAUCUCUACCCGAUCUUCUCGACAGUGAUGUAGUUCGACUAAUUUCUUCUCUAGAUUUGUUCACUGGUAAAUCUAAAAAUGACUUAGAAGCACCUCUUUUGAAUGGCUCUUUACUUUUUCGAUCCCGCUACAUUUUUCUGUUGUAUACUUCUUCGAGCUUUUGAGCACGGUCUGACAGAACAGGGAACUCUCGUAUUUCAUUACCCCCAAUCAUCAUUCUAAUUUCAUCAUUUAACCCUUCUUCAAACCUGAUACACAUUUCUUCUUUAAUAAGUACAAUGUCUCGGGCAUAUUUGCUGAGGUAGACAAAUUCUCUUUCGUAUUCAGCCACUGAUUUAUCUCCCUGGCGUAGGUCGAGAAAUUCCCUUUUAUUUUUAUCCAAAUACCGUCUGCCCACAUAUUUCUUCUUAAAUUCAUUUUGGAAAAAUUCCCAAUAAAUUUUCUCUGUCGGAACCACAUCCUCAAUCGUCUCCCACCAACUAUAAGCUUCUUCUUUCAAUAGAGACACAACACAACUCAAAUAAUCAUCUAGUGAGCAAACCAUUUCUUUAAAAAUUCUUAUUAAACUCUGUAACCAAUAUUCAGCUUUGACGGGAUCUUUAUCAGUCCUUCCCCGAAAUUCUUCGGCUCCAAGUUUUUUAAGCCUUUCCAAUGGAGAACGCUUUCUGGAUUCAGUCGUUGUAAAAGGUGGAGGAGCAACCGGGUGUGCCACCGAUGGAGCAGUAGGGGGAGGAGGUGGUUCAGCCUGAUUUCUUUCUUGCCUCAUUUCAGUAUAUCAUUGAUUCAUAAUCCCAUAAAUCAUAUUCUUUAACUCUUGCUCUCGCAUUUGGGAGAUCGGAACAUCACUGCUUGUUCUUUGUUUAGAAUUAUGUAUUCUACUAUUAACUUCUUCUUUCUCAGUACGUUUAGGUAUAUCUGACAUCUCCAUAACCGGAGAAUAUCUACUAUUAACUUCUUCUUACUGGAUUCAGUCGUUGUAAGAGGUGGAGAAGCAACCGGGGGUACCACCGAUGGAGCAGUAGGCAGAGGAGGUGGUUCAGCCUGAUUUCUUUCUUGCCUCAUUUCAGUAUACCACUGAUUCAUAAUCCCAUAAAUCAUAUUCUUUAACUCUUGCUCCCGUAUUUGGGAGAUCAGAACACCACUGCUUGUUCUUUGUUCAGAAUUAUGUAUUCUACUAUUAACUUCUUCUUGCUCAGUACGUUCAGGUAUAUCUGACAUCUCUAUAACCGGAGAAUAUCUAUAAAAAUAACAAAGAUUAGAUCGCAUCAUACGCAUUACACUAUCACAGAUUUAUAUGGCAUGUAUUUCUAAACACUUUACACUUUACACAUAUUCCGAGAACCGGCUAAACCUGGAUCUGAUACCAAUAAAAUGUAACACCCUUUACCUGAGACCGUUUCCAGAGUCGAGCAUGAGGCGUUACUUGACUUAACUUAAAAGUUCAGGGCAUAAAAAAUUACUUUCAAAAUUAAUUUCACCAUUCACAAUAAAGCUGUCCACCCACGCAGCAAUCUCUAAAUUAAUUAUAACUCAAGAUGCGAAACUCGAAAUUUAGAUCUGUAUAUUUUACCUAAAACUAGACUCAUAUAUCUAUUCACUACAAAAUUUUCAGACUUUUUGGUUUGGCAAAUUAGUACAGUUUAUUAAUUGAAGUCUCCCCUGUUUCACUAAUAGACUAUCCUGACCUCUCGUCACUAAAAUUCAAUUAUCUCAUUAUACAAACUUGACUUGGUGCUUUCAAUUAUUUUUACUUAAAAUAGACUCAUUAAGGAAUUUAAACAUAUAAUUUAUAACUCAUAAUUCAUUUUGUACAAUUUUUAAUGAAUUUCUAAAGUCAAAAUAGGGGACUUCAAAAUCAUUCUGACUCUGUCUCACUAAAAUUCAAAUAUCUAAAAGUAUAUAACUCUUUUGCUUACUCUAUUGCUUUAAUGUGAAAGUAGGCUCAUUCAGCUUUAAUUUCAUCUCUCACUCAACUUAUAAUUCUAAGUCCACAUUUUUGGUGAUUUUUCAAAGUUACAUCAAUACUGCUGUCCAAAAACUGUUCCAUUGAAAUUUUUUUAAAAAAUUUCAAUAUAACCCUUUUAUAAUUAUCUAACCUUCCCUGCAAAUUUUAAAUCACAACCAAUUUCAGUAUUUCAACCACUUCACUUAAAUACUAAUGAAGUUCAACCAAUCAACCAUUUCAAACUAAAAACAUGCAUAGUUCAAUGUCUAACACAACCAUCACAUUCAAAUUUACUUUGCAUAUUUAGAUAUUCAUUCUUUUACUUUUUACUUCAAUUCCCUAUACAUGUCAUAUAAAUCCAAAAAGUUGUUUAACAAAAUCUACCGGAGUAAAUCUUGAUAGUGUGAUUCUUGGUGUAGAUCCGAUCCUCUGAAUGUAUAAAUACGUCAAUCUACAAGAAUCAAUAAACGCACAAGUAGGCUUAAUAAACACACAAGUAAGCUUAUAGAAAGCUUAGUAAGUUCAUAGGCACCAAACAUAAAACUUACCAAACAUUUAUACACUUAUACAUUAUACACCAUUACUAAGUUUACCUGUCAACCACAUUCUUUGGUGAGUUCCUUGGUAUAAACUCACUAAUACUUAUUCUUUUACCAUAAUUCCUUUGGGCCCAUUUGUCACUUACCAUCCUUGAUCAAAAUUAAGGAACGGUUACGGAAAAUUGAGUACUUCACUUUCACUUUGCCAUAGUAUAAAUAUGGUCUUACGUAUGAUCACUUAUCACUUGUCCUUGAUCAGGUUAGUGUAGCUAGGCUACCACUUAUCACUUGUUCCUGAUCAGAUAAGUGUAGCUAAGCUAUCACUUGUCACUUUGUCACUUGAUCAAAAGUACUCAAAUCCGGUGUUCCGCUCAAUUUGAUCACUUAUUCAGUUUGCGCAUUUUUAUUUUAUUCUCAUUUCAUCAAUAAAUAUAUAUAUAUAUUUCACCAUACAUUAUAUAAUUCAUGAAAUUAACAUUUAAUCAUUAAAUUUCAUCCAUAUGAACUUACCUAGGUCGAUUUUCUGAAUUUGUAAAAGUUCAAGGACUAAUCAGCUACUUUUUCUUUUCCUCGACUUGUUUCGGGUUCUCGAUAUGAUUCAAAUAUAUGAAAAACUAGCUUGGAGGGACUCUUCAAUGGCGUUUUUUGCUGAGAAAUAUGAUGAAUUGCCUAGAAACUCUUUUAGUUAAGAUUUUUAUUUGUUAACUUUUACAAAAUUUCUAAUUUUGCCCUUAUUACAUCACUUUUUCAGAUUUUUCUUCUCUUAUGCCGUCUCAACUAUUCCAUAUUAGCAUAUUUAUGCCUUAAGUCCCUCCUUAUUUACCACUUAAGCUGUUUAAUCACUUUUAACAAAUUUUACAUUAUUUUCAGUUUAGUCAUUUUUAAUUAAUUAACCACCAAAACGUUAGAAUUUUCUAACGAAACUUUAAUACCAACUCAAUGACACUCUAUAAAUGUUUCUAAAAAUAUUUAUGGCUCGAUUGAUGAGUUUGAGGUUUCGAUACCUCAUUUUCGACUCUAAUUAUUUUAAUAUUUAUUCUUAGUACACUAUUCACUAUUUCAAAAAUUUUCCUAACUUCGCAUUUAACUUAUACUCACUAAAUUAAUAAUAUUUUCUACUCAUUUGUCAAAUUUAAUGAUCUCGAAUUACCAUUCCGACACCACUGAAAAUUCAGGCCAUUACAACUCUCCCCCCAUUUUGGAAAUUUCGUCCCCGAAAUUUCGUACCUGAAAAUAAAUUCGAAUACUGAAAUCUCAUCAAUUCCUCUGUUUCCCAGGUUGCCUCCUCAGAUCCAUGUCGAUUCCAUAACACCUUAACUAGUGGUACAUGUUUAUUCCUCAACUCUUUAACAUCCCAAGCUAAAAUUUUCACCGGUUCCUCUGAAUAAGUCAUGUCAGGUUGAAGCUCUAUUUCCGUAUGAGGAAUUACAUGUGAUGGAUCUGAUUUGUACCGUCUCAACAUAGACACAUGAAACACAUUAUGAAUCUUUGCAAGUUCCGGGGGCAAAGCUAAUCUAUAGGUUACCAGACCGAUUCUUUCAAUGAUUUCAUACGGCCCGAUAAAUCGUGGGCUGAGUUUUCCCUUUUUGCUGAACCGCAAAACUUUCUUCCACGGUGACAGUUUCAAAAAUACACGAUCACCCACAUUAAACUCUCUAUCCCUUCUCUUCAAAUCUGCAUAUGAUUUUUGCUGAUCGGAGGCAGCUUUUAAGCAAUCUCGAAUAAUACGAACUUUUUCUUCAGUUUCCUGAGUCAAUUCCACUUCCACCAGUUUCAAUUCACUUAAUUUAGACCAAUAUAAUGAAGUUCUACACUUUCUUCCAUACAAAGCUUCAAACGGUGCCAUUUUAAUGCUAGUUUGAUAACUAUUAUUAUAAGCAAAUUCGGCUAAAGGUAAAUACCUUUCCCAGCUACCGCCGAACUCAAGUAUACAACACCUUAACAUAUCUUCUAAAAUCUGAAUCACUCGCUCUGACUGCCCAUCUGUCUGGGGAUGAAAAGCUGUGUUGAAAUUUAAUUUGGUGCCUAAAGCUUCCUGUAAUUUACUCUAAAAUCUCGAGGUAAAUCUCGGAUCUCGAUCUGAAAUAAUAGAUGUCGGUACCCCAUGUAACCUCACUAUCUCAGACACAUAUAACUCCGCUAACUUUUCAAGCUGAUAAUCUGCUCUGACUGGAAUAAAAUGUGCUGAUUUAGUUAACCGAUCAACAAUCACCCAUAUCGAAUCUUUCUUCUUCGAAGUUACUGGUAAUCCGGAUACAAAAUCCAUCGCAACAUGUUCCUAUUUCCACUCUGGAAUCAUAAUGGGCUGUAACAACCCUGUCGGCACUUGAUGCUCAGCUUUCACCUGUUGGCAGAUCAAACAUCUUGCUACAUACUCACAGAUUUCCCAUUUAAUUCCGGGCCACCAAUACAUUUUCUUCAAAUCACAAUACAUUUUUGUACUAACCCGGUGAAUAGAACACAUACUACUGUGAGCCUCUGAUAAAAUAUCAUUUUUCAAGUUUAAAUUAUUCGGAAUACAUAUUCUAUUACGAUAAUAUAACAUACCAUUUUCAUCAAUGGAGUAUUCUGAGCUUAACUUAUCUUGAACCAUCUGUCGUUUUAUCAUCAAUUUUGGGUCAUCAUCCUGUAACUCUUGAAUCCAUUGAAAGAACACGGGUUUAGCCUUUAAUUCUGCUAGUACAGAACCAUCCUCAUUAAUAGAUAAAUGAGCAUUCAAUGCCCGUAGUGCAAAUAAUGAUGAUUUCUGACUAAGUGCAUCUGCUGCGGCAUUUGCUUUCCCUGGGUGAUAGUCAAUGACAAGAUAAUAAUCUUUCUGCAACUCUAACCAUCGUCUCUAUCUCAAAUUUAACUCUUUCUGAGUCAUUAAAUACUUUAAGCUUUUAUGAUCAGUAUACACGUAACAUUUCUCACCAUAUAAGUAGUGUCUCCUUAUCUUCAAAGCAAACACGAUCGCUGCCAAUUCAAAAUCAUGUGUAGGAUAAUUCUUGUCGUGCGGUUUCAGUUGCCGAGAAGCAUAUGCCACCACUUUGCCUGACUGAAUAAGUACACAGCCCAACCCAUUUACAGAUGCAUCACUAUAUACUACAAAUGGUACACCCGAUUCUGGUUGAGUCAACAUUGGAGCCUCUGUCAACAUCUUUUUCAACUGAUCAAAACUCCGCUGACAUUUAUCUGACCAUAUAAAUUCAACAUUCUUUUGUAGAAAUCGAGUCAACUGUAAGGUAAUCAUUGAGAAAUCUUUGAUAAAUCGACAAUAAUAACAUGCCAAUCGUAGAAAACUCCACACUUCAAUAACAUUCUUCGGAACUUUCCAAUUUACCAUUGCCGCUACCUUACUUGGAUCGACUCUUAUUCCAUCAGCUGAUACAAUAUGACCCAAAAAUGCAACUUCAUGGAGCCAAAAUUCUCAUUUGCUAAAUUUGGCAUACAAUUGUUUCUCUCACAAAGUCUGUAAUACAAUCCUUAGAUGUUGUGCAUGUUCGGACUCUGUCUUUGAAUAAAUCAAUAUAUCGUCAAUGAACAACCACAAAUCUAUCCAAUUAUGACUGAAAAAUUCUAUUCAUCAAAUCCAUAAAAGCAGCAAGGGCAUUGGUUAAACCAAAUGGCAUCACCAAAAAUUCAUAAUGACCAUAUCGAGUUUGGAAGGCAGUUUUCGGCACAUCACACUCUUUAACUUUCAACUGAUAAUACCCAGAUUGAAGAUCUAUCUUGGAAAAUAUUGCAGCACCUUUCAACUGAUCAAAUAAAUCAUCAAUAUGAGGCAAAGGAUAUUUAUUCUUUACUGUUACCUUAUUCAACUGCCUGUAAUCUAUACACAGUCUUAGAGAACCGUCCUUUUUUUUCACAAACAAGACAGGUGCACCCCAGGGCGACAUACUCAGUCUGAUGAACCAUUUCUCUAAUAACUCCUGUAACUGCGCCUUCAACUCUUUUAACUCGGCUGGAGCCAUUCUGUACGGUGUCAUUGAGAUAGGAGUUGUUCCGGCGAUCACAUCAAUUACAAAUUCAACUUCUUUAUCAGGUGGUAGACCGGGUAACUCUUCAGGGAACACAUUAGGGAAUUCAUUCACUACUGGCACUUGUUUGAGCUUCAAACCAGAACCCUGAGUAUCCAUGAUAUAGGCCAAGAAUGCUUCGUUGCCUUUGCGUAAUAACCUCUGAGCAGGGAGAGCUGAAAUAAUUCUGACUGUAUCACCCAUAUUUUCAGACCCAACUGAGAUUAUAUCUCCCGUUUGACAUUUCAAAUUGAUCUGUUUAUCACGACAAUUCACUACCGCAUCAUGUCUCACUAACCAGACCAUCCCAAGAAUAAUGUCAAAUUCUCGAAAAGGUAACAACAUCAAAUCAGCGGGGAAUUCAUAGCCUUUCACUUUUAAUGGACAAUUACGACAUAUCAAAUUAACCAUCACACUUUGACCUAAUGGGUUUGUGACUUGUAUAUCAAAUUCAAUGGACUUAACAAAUAAUUUCUUUUCAGAUGCUAACAUAGUGCAAAUAUAUGAAUGAGUAGAUCUAGGGUCUAUCAAUGCAUAAACAAUAACAUCAUAAAGAUAGAAAGUACCAACAAUUACAUCAGGAGCCGUAGCCUCUUCCCUUGCUCGAAUGGCGUAGGUACGUGCUGGUGCUCUAUUCUUUGAUCGACCAACUGAUUCCCUCGUACCCGAACGGGUAGUCCCUGUAGCACUGCUCUGGCCCGAAUGUCUACUUCUUUGGGGAAUGGUUCUCUGUAUCUCUUUCUGUUCCACUUCAUCUUUUUACAGUCGGGGACAAUCUCGAAUAAGAUGAUUAGUAGCCCUACAUUUUUAACAAGCCCCCAUCUUGGUCCUGCAUUCUCCGAAAUGAUAUCUUCCACAAUAUUGACACUUAGGCCGGGGAGCAUUCUGAACACCGCUCACACUUGCUGCAGGUCUAUCGAAUACCCUGAAAUCAGAUUGUCUUGGUCUAUCUCUACCCGAUCUUCCCAACAUUAAUGUAGUUCGACUAAUUUCUUCUCUAGAUUUCUUCACUGGCAAAUCUAAAAAUGACUUAGAAGCACCUCUUUUGAAUGGCUCUUUACUUUUUCGAUCCCGCUGCAUUUUUCUGUUGUAUACUUCUUCGAGCUUUUGAGCACGGUCUGACAGAACAACGAACUCUCGUAUUUCAUUACCCCCAAUCAUCAUUCUAAUUUCAUCAUUUAACCCUUCUUCAAACCUGAUACACAUUUCUUCUUUAGUAGGUACAAUGUCUCGGGCAUAUUUGCUGAGGUAAACAAAUUCUCUUUCGUAUUCAGCCACUGAUUUAUUUCCCUGGCGUAGGUCGAGAAAUUCCCUUUUAUUUUUAUCCAAAUACCGUCUGCCCACAUAUUUCUUCUUAAAUUCAUUUUGGAAAAAUUCCCAAUAAAUUUUCUCUGCUGGAACCACAGCCUCAAUCGUCUCCCACCAACUAUAAGCUUCUUCUUUCAAUAGGGACACAGCACAUCUCAAAUAAUCAUCUGGUGAGCAAACCAUUUCUUUAAAAAUUCUUAUCAAACUUUGUAACCAAUAUUCAGCUUUGACGGGAUCUUCAUUAGUCCUUCCUGAAAUUCUUCGGCUCCAAGUUUUUUAAGCUUUUCCAAUAGAGAACGCUUACUAGAUUCAGUCGUUGUAGGAGGUGGAGGAGUAACCGGGGGUACCAUCGAUGGAGCAGUAGGGGGAGGAGGUGGUUCAGCAUGAUUUCUUUCUUGCCUCAUUUCAAUAUACCACUGAUUCAUAAUCUCAUAAAUCAUAUUCUUUAAUUCUUGCUCUCGCAUUUGGGAGAUCGGAACAUCACUGCUUGUUCUUUGUUCAGAAUUAUGUAUUCUACUAUUAACUUAUUCUUACUUAGUUCGUUCAGGUAUAUCUGACAUCUUUAUAACUGGAGAAUAUCUAUAAAAAUAACAAAGAUUAGAUCGGAUCAUACGCAUCACACUAUCACAGAUUUAUAUGGCAUGUAUUUCUAAACACUUUACACUUCACACAUAUUCCGAGAACCGGCUAAACCGGGAUCUGAUACCAAUAAAAUAUAACACCCUUUACCCAAGACCGUUGCCCGAGUCGAGCAUGAGGCGUUACUUGACUUAACUUAAAAGUUCAGGGCAUAAAAAUUUACUUUCAAAAUUAAUUUCACCAUUCACAAUAAAGCUGUCCACCUGCGCAGGAGUCACUAAAUCAAUUAUAACUCAAGCUACGAAACUCAAAAUUUAGAUCCGUAAAUUUUCCCUAAAACUAGACUCAUAUAAAUAUUCACCAUAAAUUUUUAAGAAUUUUUAGUUUAUCCAAUUAGUAUAGUUUAUUAGUUUAAGUCUCCCUUGUUUCACUAAUAGACUACCCUGACCUCUCGUCACUAAAAUUCAAUUAUCUCCUUAUACAGACUUGACAUGGUGCUUCCAAUUAUUUUUACUUAAAAUAUACUCAUUAAGGAAUUUAAAAAUAUAAUUUAUAACUCAUAAUUACUUUUUUACAAUUUUUAUUGAAUUUCUAAAUUCAGAACAGGGGACUUCAAAAUCAUUCUGACCCUGUCUCACUAAAAUUCAAAUAUCUAAAAGUAUAUAACUCUUUUGCUUACUCUAUUGCUUUCAUGUGAAAGUAUACUCAUUCAGAUUUAAUUUCAUAUCUCACUUAACUUAUAAUUCUAUUUCCACUAUUUUUGGUGAUUUUUCACAGUUACAUCAAUGCUGCUGUCCAAAAACUGUUCCAUUGAAAUUUUUAAAAAAAAUUCAAUAUAACCCCUUUAUAAUUAUCUAACCUUCCCUGCAAAUUUCAAAUCACAACCAAUUUCAGUAUUUCACCUACUUCACUUAAAUACUAAUGAAGUUCAACCAAUCAACCAUUUCAAACUAAAAACAUGUAUAGUUCAAUGUCUAACACAACCAUCAUAUUCAAAUUUACUUUGCAUACUUAGUCAUUCAUUCUAUUACUUUUUACUUCAAUUCCCUAUACAUGCCAUAUAAAUCCAAAAAGUUGUUUAACAAAAUCUACCAGAGUAAAUCUAGAUAGUGUGAUUCUUGGUGUAGAUCCGAUCCUCCGAAUGUAUAAAUACGUCAAUCUACAAGAAUCAAUAAACACAUAAUUAAGCUUAUAGAAAGCUUAGUAAGUUCAUAGGCACCAAACAUAAAUCUUACCAAACAUUUAUACACUUAUACAUUAUACACCAUUACUAAGUUUACCUGUCAACCACAAUCUUUGGUGAGUUCCUUGUUAUAAACUCACUACUACUUAUUCUUUUACCAUAAUUCCUUUGGGCCCAUUUGUCACUUACCAUCCUUGAUCAAAAUUAAGGAACGGUUACGGAAAAUUGAGUACUUCACUUUCACUUUGCCAUAGUAUAACUAUGGUCUUACAUAUGAUCACUUAUCACUUGUCCUUGAUAAGAUAAGUGUAGCUAGGCUACCACUUAUCACUUUGUCACUUGAUCAGAUAAUUGUAGCUAAAGCUACCACUUAUCACUUUAUCACCACUUAUCACUUGUUCCUGAUCAGAUAAGUGUAGCUAAAACUACCACUUAUCACUUUGUCACCACUUAUCACUUGUUCCUGAUCAGAUAAGUGUAGCUAAAGCUACCACUUAUCACUUUGUCACUUGAUCAGAUAAGUGUAGCUAAGCUAUCACUUAUCACUUUGUCACUUGAUCAGAAGUACUCAAAUUCGGUGUUCCGCUCAAUUUGAUCAUUUAUUCAGUUUUCACAUUUUUAUUUUAUUCUCAUUUCAUCAAUAAAUAUAUAUAUUUCAGCAUACAUUAUAUAAUUCAUGAAAUUAACAUUUAAUCAUUAAAUUUCAGCCAUAUGAACUUACCUGGGUCGAUUUAUUGAAUUUGUAAAAGUUCAGGGACUAAUCAGCUACUUUUUCUUUUCCUCGACUUGUUUCGGGUUCUCAAUAUGAUUCAAAUAUAUGAAAAACCAGCUUGGAUGGACUCUUCAAUGGCGUUUUUUGCUGAGAAAUAUGAUGAAUUGCCUAGAAACUCUUUUAGUUAAGAUUUUUAUUUGUUAACUUUUACAAAAUUUCCAAUUUUGCCCUUAUUACAUCACUUUUUCAGAUUUUUCUUCUCUUAUGCCGUCUCAACUAUUCCAUAUUAGCAUAUUUAUGCCUUAAGUCCCUCCUUAUUUGCCACUUAAGCUGUUUAAUCACUUUUAACAAAUUUUACAUUAUUUUCAGUUUAGUCCUUUUUAAUUAAUUAACCACCCAAACGUUAGAAUUUUCUAACGAAACUUUAAUAUCAAUUCAAUGACACUCUAUAAAUGUUUCUAAAAAUAUUUAUGGCUCGAUUGAUGAGUUUGAGGUUUCGAUACCUCAUUUUUUAUUCUAAUUAUUUUAAUAUUUAUUCUUAGUAUACUAUUCACUAUUUUAAAAAUUUUCCUAACUUCGCAUUUAACUUAUACUCACUAAAUUAAUAAUAUUUUCUACUCAUUUGUCAGAUUUAGUGAUCUAGAAUUACCAUUCCGACACCACCGAAAAUUCAGGCCAUUACAUUAUGUUUAUUGACUCAUUUUUUCUGUUGACUGAAUUUCAGGUAACUCAUCGACUUAGGCGGGUCGGCAUGGCGAGAGCUCGGUCAUCCUUAUUUAGUAAUUUUCUGUUUAAAUUAAACUUAUGCUAUAGUUGUUUUAUCUUGAAUUACAGAUUGCAAAUUUAUAUUUCUACACUAGUUCAACUAUUUAAACAUUUUCUGACAAUUAAACUUUAAUUAGUUAAAAGUGAGAAUUUCUUAAAUGAUUUGUUGUAGCUUUCCAAGCUUGGUCCUAACAUCUAGGUCGGGUUUGGGGUGUUACAACCCAAAACCCCCAAACUUUCCCCUCAAAACUUUUACUCCCCCACCCUUUCUCUUUCUCGCUCACCCUCCCAAACCCUUUUACUUUUCCCCCAAAACUUUUACUUCCCACUUUUACCCCCAAAUCAAAAAUCAAAAUCCUCCCAAAAAAAUCCUUAAACCUAAAUAGUAAUAAUUUUAUUUAUGGCCACUAUUUAUAUUAUAAAUUAAAUUUCACAUUUUCUAUUAUUUAUAUUAUUAAAUUGUUUAAUCAUUUUGAAUCUUUAUCAAUUUCUGUUAAAACUGUAUCAUUGAUGAUGUCAUACAUUAUUUGUGUUAAAAAUUUCUAUUGGUAUCAAUUUCACAUUUUAUCUUUAAAAUAAAUUUUAUUAAAAAAAUUACUUUUUUACAUUUAAUAUAUUUUUUAAUUUCAAAAUAUAUGGUGACAAGAAUUAGAAGAUAAUUGAAGCAACUAAGCAAGUAAAAAAGCUAACAUGUAUAUAAAAGAUUAAAUAAAUUAUGAAGGGAUGAAAGUUAAUAACACAUUUGAUUACGGUGGACAAAUUUGAUAAUGAUGGGUGACAGUGGCUACAAGGAUCCAAAGUAAUUUUUUCAAUUAACUGGAAACAAAUAUAUUCGAUUCGAUUCGAUAAAAUUUGAAAUCAUUUUAGGAUGAUAAAAUAAGAUUCGUCAACUCGAUUAACUCGAAGUUUUUUCAUUUGAUUCGAUUAGACGCUCACCCCUACAAAGUAUGACCGAUUGGUCUGAUUCUGAAAAAAAUUGGUUUUGAUCAAUGAAAGAACUUUUACGAUGGCGACAGGUCUAACAAACAGGUGAUAUUUUGAAAAGAAAAUUAAUCUCCAUAGUCUCAACCUUAGGAGGGUGAAUUUUGAGCAUUGCAUUUGUUGUCAUUGUUAGACAUUAUAAAGGAAGAAAAAAGAAAGAAAAAAGUUAAAAUGAGGGAAAUUAUUGAAAAAAAGAGAGAAGAGAAUAAUUAAUUUUUUUUAAAAUUUUACAUGUCAAUCUAUUAUUGAUUAGAUUUUUUUAAUGAGUGUAACAUUUUGGUGUUAAAUGGAUAAUAAAAAAAUAUUUUAAGUAUCAUUUAUGAUAAAAAUAUUUAGGUAUCAAUUUGAAAAAAAUAUGUAGCUUAGAUACUAAUUGAUGGGUUAAUUUUUUUAGCUUAAUAAUUUGAUUAAACCGAAAUACCAACUGAAAAAAAGUUUACUCGCCGCUUAUGAAAAAAAAUAAGUAUGAAUUUGUAAGUUAAAUCUCCCUAAAAGAAAAAAUAUAUCACAUUCAAUACGGGGUGAAUGAAGCAAUGAAUGCAAUGGGGUAUUACAACCAGCCACAUGUCAUUCAAUUCAUGUUAUAUCUACCUUGUUGGCCCCACAGGCGGUCUUUUCCAUUAUUUUCGAAGUGAACGACAUGAGUCGGACCUAUAUCGGCCCCAACAAACAACCUCAACCACUUGUUUUGUUAGGUUGUUGACUAAUUUGAAUAUGUCGGCUCAAAGCUUUUUGAAAAUUAAAUUAUUUUUUAUAUUAAUAUCAUAUAGGUAUAAAAAUUUAACGUUUUGUAAAAAAAAUAAAUUUAGUGUUAAAUUUAAAUAAUUAUAAAAAAUUAUACAAAAUACAAAGACAACUUAGAGUCAAUAAAAAAAAUAUGGAAAAUCAAUUCAUACAUGAAAUGGCAUAAAAAUAUUAUGAACACUAUACAAAUAUAUGAAUGUUUUUAUAUCUAUAUAAAAUAAGUUAUUAACGCUUAAAUUUCAACCAAUUAAAUAUUAAUUUAACUAUAAACUAUAAAAAAUUAAAAUUUCAUUUACCCUAAACAAUUAUUCUAAUUUCGCCCCUGUAUAAAAUAGUUGUAAUAUUAAAAAAAAAGUUAUACGAAUAUGGAGUGUUAAAAAAAAAGGCUUUCAACUUUUAAUAUUCCAAACAAAUAAAAGAAAUAAUAAUAACAGUUUACAAGUGCAAUAAAAGUAAUACAUAUUUGAUGAAUUAAAAAUAGAAUAAAUAUAACUAACUAUAACAGAAAUAUAUUUAGAUUUAAACCAAAUUUUUUUGAAGAUGAAAUUUGAACUCACAAAUAAUAUUUAUAAAUGAUGAUAUGUUUUAGAACAUGUAUAUUUUAAUUUCAUUUGAUAUUUAAAUUAAAUGAAUGAAAUGAGUAUAUUAGCAUAAAUAUAUUGAAUUUCUAGAUUUAUUAAAAAUCCAACUAAAUAGAGUAGAUCCAUAAAUUUAAAAAAUGAUUAUGGAUUUUGAAAUAUAAAUCUAAAAUUUAAAAUCUGAAACCCUCCUAAAUGUUUUCCAAAGUAAGGCGGGGAUAAAUGGUAUAGGGAAGACGGUGGGUAGAUAGAUGUACGGUUUAUUUAUAACUUCGUUUUUAUUAGUCGGCUUACAGUUUCAUAAAAAGCAUCCGUGCAAGGCAUGUUCAAAUGCUGCACUAGCAUACCACUACUAUAAAAAAAACACAUACAAGAGCACCACAAAUUUAUCCCAAAAUACAUUAAAUAAAUGACUCCUAAGGGUGCCAGAUUUAACUAGUGUGUCUGGGAUUGUAUUAGCCUCUCUGAGGCCAUGUGAAAAAAUUUAAUGUUAUUGUUAUAUUUCCAUCUCGAUACGUUGCAAGACAUGAAGCAAUCUGUAAACAACUCUCUUUUGGAAGCAGUUUGCAUACGACUCUUCGCUAAGAACCAUUUGUUGUGAUCUUUCGCUUAGGAUUGCUCACAAAUGACCCCCAUGCACCCUAUCUCUCUCCCUCCUUAACUCAUCAUCUUGAACUCUCAUCCUAUUAUAGGUGAAUCGAGACUCUUCUCCUCCACCCUUUCCUCGUUGGUUACUUGUAGCAAAAAAAAUUAAUUUCACCGAAAAUGUUGGAGAGAUCCCAUGGUCUAAGUGUGUUGUUAGAGCAAAGCUCGAUGGCAAAUUUGGAGUCAAAUUUUAGAAUCAACCCUUUAAAAUCCAUUACACCGUAAAGGAAAAUUUUUACAAUUACAUUAACAAUAAAUAUUCAAAAUUUACUCAUCUAUCUAUACUUAUAUUAAGCCUUAUUUGAGUUGGAGUCAAGAGUCAACUAGGUACUAACUCAGUUGAGAAUUUACUAAAUAAUUUUAAUAUAAAGUAAAAAAAAUAUUAAUACGAGGGUGUUUUUAUCUUUUCAUAUUUUUAAAUAAAAAUACUAUAAUAAGAUUUAAACUUAAGUUUAAAAUUUCAAUCAAAACAUCACUUAAAUUUAAAAUAACAUUUUUAUAUAAAAUGUGUUUAGAUUCUAAGAUAAUGAAAUUUAUGAUGAGGUAUUCAAAAUGUGUUUGAAUAUGCUAAUGAGAUAUUCAAAUUGGUAUGCACAUUCCUAAUCAGGGAGCAUUAAUGAUAAUUUAGUAAAAUAAAUUAUCUCAUUAGCAUAUAGUUUAUUAUAAAAUUAUUGUGUAAAAUAAACAAUUCACAAACUUAAGAAUUUAUAACACAAAAAUUAUACAUCAAUGUUGUUAGAAUUGUAUUAUAUCCAUCGGUUGAAUUUAAAUUUAAAAAUUUAAUCAGCGAUAAUAAUUAAAAUCGUUUCAAACUAGUAAAAUAUUGAAAAUUAAGAACUAAUAAAAUAGAUUCUAAUUAUUUUUAUUUAAAAAAUGUUACCUUCUUAUUCAGGUUACAUUAAGACAAACCCAUCUUAAUUAUAAGUAUCAUAUUGUGAAUGGUAAACUUCUUACACAACAUCCACCAUUUGUCCAAAUAUGUUAAAUUAGGUGCAACAUAGAAAUUUUAUUGUAAGGAGUGAAUCUCAUUGUUUUUAUUUUCAUCAAACAUACGUCUAACUUUAUUAUUACGGGAUUAGAACUUAAAUUUGAUAAAUUGUGUGGUUUUAGGUGAUUUCUUUUCGUUAAAUUUAUCUAAAUCAACCUAACACUCGAAAAGUGAGAAUUCUCCUAAAAAUUCUUUAUGUUAGCAAAAAAUAUAGUGGAAGUAACUUGAAACGAAAGAGCAAUGAGAGAAUUGAAAAGACACAAGAAAAUAAUGCAUACAAGGUGUUUGAGUAAAUGCUCUCAAUAAAUUCUUUAACUCAAGAAGGAAUGAAGUACAACCAGUAUCUAGCCCCCCUAAAAUAGAAAAUUUUCCAUUUAUAUACCUUUAUAAUUUAUAAAAUUUAAAAUUUUACUUUCCCAUAAAAUGAUAAAAAAUUGAUUUAUUUCUUUAAAAAUUAUAAAGAUGACUAUUAAAAUAGUAAAAUUGUAUUUUUAUUAUUGUAAAAAUAUACAAUUUAAUUCUGUCUCCCAAAUUUUUUUUUUUUGGUUUCAUCCCUAAGUACAAUGAUCGUUGUAGCAGGAUACAUAGGCAUUCUAGCACAGAAUGCAAAUAUGUUGCCAAUUAACUUCGAGUCAUGGCAUAAAGUGCCCGAGAGUAACAAGAACCAAGCUCUCGAUAACAUUAAGGUAACAAAAUGUGUAUAUCAUUUAUAAUACUUGAGUUUAAGUUUCGUUUACAUUUACUUUCUGAAGUUGUGUUUUUUGUAGGGGAGAUUUGCUCUAGAGGUCUCCGAUGCUUAUGUAAAGAAGGCAUUGGGAAAAAGAUGGAGAGACCAUAAGAGCACUUUAAAGAAAGACUAUUUUAAGACAAAAACAACACUCGACGAGAGAUUACAAAAUGUCACGCCGGGAAUGCUGAGGUACCAGUGGGAAGAAGUCGUUAGAUUUUGGACUUCGAAGAAAGGAGAGGUAUGUGUUACUACAAAAAUCUUGUAAUUAUUUUGGUUUAUAGUAUUUACUAAUUAACGUACUAAUAAUUUCAUAACGUAGGAUCGUGAACGAGUUGGAACAAGUAGUAGGCAGAAACAAAAAUUCACGCACACAGCUGGGUCGAGAAGUUUUGCGUGUGUAGCUCAGGCCGAGGUAUUUUGAAUUUUUUAAUACUGGCAGAUAUUUAUUACUUUCUAUCAAAUAAUAUUUUUACUAUUGUAUUGUAGGAAGUGUUGUCGGGUCAAAAAGUUGGACGCCUUCAACUUUUUGACAUUACACAUAGGAAGAAAGAUGGAAACCCUAUGACUCCUGAAGCUGCAGAAAUUAUGGUACGUUUGCUUAAUACAAUUUGACUUGUUUUAAUUAUUUAUGCUGUUUAUUUUCUAAUGUUUUUUAUUACAUUUCUUGUAAUGCAAAUAUUGUUAAGUUAUGUUGCAUUUGUUUUGUUAAUAUAUGUUGCGUUCUUAACUAUGUGAUUUAUUUUUUAGGAAAAACUGAAGGAUAAAAAGGCGGAGUACGAAGCGAUUGCUUCCAGUGAUAGUUCUGUUCAUAUUGACGACAUUGAUAACCGGAUUAUCACUGAAGUUUUGGGUCCUGAAAGGUAUGGUCGGGUUCGAUUUCAAGGAUCUUUUGUUAACCCAUCCCAAUAUUUUGGAUCCAGCUCGCAACAAUACAUGCAUUCGGGGAGUCAGGCUCAAGCUGAAGUUCAGAGGUUAAGAGACCAGAUAGCUCAGAUGCAAGCGGCAACGAGUGAGCAAAUUACACAACUUAAAGCGGAGGCAACAUCGAGAGAAGCUGAGGUUCAAAAAAGAUAUGAAGAACUCCAGCUACAACUUAAAGCAGAUGCGGCAGCGAGAGAAGCAGAGGUAGCAGCGAGAGAAGCUGAGGUUCAACGAAAGUAUGAGCAACUGCAGCAGCAGCUUAAAGAAGAUGCGGCAACGAGAGAAGCAGCGGCUGCAGCGAGGGAAGUAGAGGCUGCAGUGAGGGAAUCAGAACAGCAUAAAAAGUUCGAUGAACUCCAGCAGCAGCUUCAGAAUAUGAUGAAGAUGUUUCAGCAGUCGCAACCGCCGUCAUCUUAGACUAUCGUUUAAAUAUACUUCAAUUUUGACUUUGGUAUUAUUAUUUUAACUUUUACAAUUUCUGUCAGAAUAAUACGAAUUUUAUUUUAUUUAUUGACAUUUAUUUUAAAUAUUAUAUAGAUUUGGUUAGAUUUGGUUGGUUGGAUUUGGUUUCUUCUGAUUUGUUUUUAUAGGAGGGGGCUGAAAUUUUUUUUUUCAAAUCUGCAAAAAUUAGCGGCGUUUUUUUGGAUAAGCGCCGCUAAAGACCAUCGUCUAUAGUGGAAUUUUUUGGCUAAGCGCCGCUAAAGACCAUGGUCUAUAGUGGCAUUUUUCGGCUAAGCACCGCUAAAGACCAUGGUCUAUAGUGGCGUUUUUUGUCUAAGCGCCGCUAAAGACCAUGGUGUAUAGUGGCAUUUUAUGGCUAAGCGCCGCUAAAGACCAUGGUGUAUAGUGGCGUUUUUUGGCUAAGCGCCGCUAAAGACCAUGGUCUAUAGUGGCGUUUUUUGUCUAAGCCCCGCUGAAAACCAUGGUCUAUAGUGGCGUUUUUUGGCUAAGCGUCGCUAAAGACCAUGGUCUAUAGUGGCGUUUUGUGGCUAAGCGCCGCUAAAGACCAUGAUCUAUAGUGGCAUUUUUCGGCUAAGCGCCGCUAAAGACCAUGGUCUAUAGUGGUGUUUUUUAGGCUAAGCGCCGCUAAAGACCAUGGUCUAUAGCGGCGUUGCAAAGAAAACGCCGCUAAAGACCAUGGUCUAUAGUGGCGUUUUUUAGGCUAAGCGCCGCUAAAGACCAUGGUCUAUAGCGGCGUUGCAAAGAAAAUGCUGCGAAAGGUCUUGAUCUUUAGCGGUGUUUAUUAUAAAAAGCGCCGCUAAAGUUACCGACGCUGUCAUUAGCGGCGAUCCUUGCGGCGCUUCGUAAAGCGCCGCUAAAAGUAUUUGCGGCGCUAAAAAAUGCCGCUAUAGACCUAAAAAAGCGCCGCUAAAACCCUGUUUUGGUGUAGUGUGAGAUGAUUACAAAUGAAGGGGGAGAUCUCUAUUUAUAGUUGAGCUCCCCUAGAUCCAAUAGUAUAGAUUGAAUUACAUCAACGAUUGAGAUUAGUACUUAUCUACAAGAUGAGUCUUAAGGAUUUUAAACUCUAUACAUCUUUAUCCCUUAGGAUUUACAUUAAUUACUCUGGUAACUCUAGUUUUACUGGAGAGUUUCACUGAACCACCAAAGGUUUAAGUAGAUGAGCUUCUCCAUAUGUUCCACGAGUUGGACAAGUUCAAGCGGAUCAAAUGAGCCCAAUUUAAUUAGUUAAUCUCAAUAAAACGUUCUAUGCACAAUGAUCAUGAACUUUGAUCCACAUCUCAAAAUGAUCAGAUGAAUAAUCUCUCUUAAUUAUAUUUUUAUAAAACUUGAUAUUUUCAUUUAAAAAGAAACACAAUCACAUAUAAUAAUGUCUCCAAAAGAGUCGUCCACUUCAAAGAUUUAAAGUAAUGUAAGAAUGAACCCAACAUUUUUCAAUUAAAAAUAUGUCGAUAGAUAUAGCAAGUUGUAUAACCUUUCAAUUACAAAACAGAUUUCAAUGGGGAUUGCAUCCGGUACAUGCAACUAAAGAACAGAACCGGUGCAUAAAUUGAUUUAAUUAAACUUUGGGUUGAGUAAUCAUGAUUUUCAUUAUUAUUAGACUACGUGAAUGUUGAUAUAAAAUGCUUGAGAGAAGGGUAUAGAAGAAACACAAAAUAAUGAGUGAUAUUAAUUUGUAGAUAAAGAUAAUAUUACAUAGUCGCAAAAAGCGACCUAGUACACAACGCACAACUCUAAAUUAGGAUAACUCCUCUGCUAUCCCUAUGGAUGGAUUUUAACAUCCAUAUUUAUUCUGUAGCUAUCGUUAUUUUGGCUUCCACUAGCUGGUGAACUUUCCAUGCCAAAACUUCACUUAACCCUGCAAAUGAAACAACAAAAAACACAACAUUAAAUGUUGAGCAAUUAAUAAGCAUAAGCAAUGAAACAACUCAUACGAACCUGCUGCAGUCAGUGCUAGGGCUGAUCUUGUAAGGGAUGUUGACACCGCACUUGCCUGGGAGUCCGCUUGCAAUACCAUAGUUGAUGCCAGGAAUGCCGGCGGCCGCACUUUUGAUGCAUUUGCAAGCUGCUUGCCGGUCUGGUGUUGUUUGGGCGGCGGAGUUGAGAGAUUUGAUGCCGCUGCAGCAACCUUGGGGAACGGCACCAGCACCAUUCCCUCUCAAGUAAUUAAUGCAGGGUGCGAGGGAGCCUGUGACUUGACCACAGGUUACGGUCCCUUGAGCCAGGGGUGCACCCACCACCAUGCACAACACCACCACACAUGCAAGCUUAAGGGACAUUGAGCUAGCCAUAUCGAUUAAUUACAAGAAAAACAAACUUGUAAGGAAAAUGCUUGCUUGGAGUAGUAGUAGUAUUGCUGAUUGUUGCGUGGUUAGGGCCCGAGGGUAGGAGGGUUUUUAUAGCCAAAAGUUUUGUGAAGGGAUAUGGAACGAACUGAGAAACACGUACGAAUAGAAUAUGGUUAGGCGUUGGUAGUUGUCCCAAUUCAAUGCCAAGGUUUCUUUUUUUCUUUUUCAUGUUUCAGCUUAUGGUUGAGUGUGUUUAAUGCUUUGAAAAAGGUUUGUAUCUACCACUUUCAUCUUCAUCACUAAUGCUGAAUUACUCCGUUGAUUAAUGCAUCAUAUUAGCCUUGUCCUAGUGUUACCGGUUUUCUGAUAUUAGUAGCUUUACCAAUAAAAGAUGCUAUCAAAUAUAGUUUUCAGGAUGAUAUUAAAAAUUAAGGUUUUUUAGUUACAAAUAAAAUUGUCACAUUAUCAAAUUUUAAAGAUAUGAAAUUAUUAUUAUAAACUCAUCUAUAGAGAAAUUAUUUUAUGAGCCCUUUCCACCACAUUAUUCACAGUCCAUUUUCAAUUAUUUAAUAAUAUUUCAACAAUAUUUUUCAUGUCAUUGACACAUAAUUUUAAUAAAUUUUUUACCCUGAACCUUGAGUCUAGAAUCCCAAACCCUAAAUAAAAAACUUAAAACCCCAAACUAUAACCCCAAACACUUGCAUCAUAAACUCGAACCGCGAACCUCAAACUCAUAAUCUGUAACCUUGAACCCAAACUUGUAAUCUCGAACCCUUGAACCCUUGAACCCUGAACCUAAACCUUGAACCCUGAACUCAAAGCCCAAAACCAAAACUGAACCCUGAACCUUAAAUCUCAAACCCAAACCUUAAACCUCGAGGUUUGGGUUCAAGGUUCAAGGUUCAGGGUUUGAGUUCAAGGUUCGAGGUUUAGGAUAAAAUAAUUACCAAAAUUUGUAACAGAAUAAAAGAGUUCGUUUAUAAUUUAAAAAGCAAUUAUUUUAAGUAAUUUAAUUAAAGUGAAAUUAAGUUAGAGAAAAUAUUAGAUAUAGAUGAGUGUAUAAUAAUACUUUAUUGUCUUUAAAAUUUAAUGACGUGGUACUAUUUUAUUGGUGCCUCAAACUAUACUUUUUAGAAUAAUCCUAAUACAAUUUAUUCCCAUAUUAAAUACGUAUGCUUUCUAUAUUUUUUCGAAAAAAUAAAUUUUAUUCAUAAACUUUCUAUAUAUAAAUAUAUGUUUUAUUUAAAAUUUAUAAAUACAGAAAAAUUAAAAUAUAAAUAUAUGUCAAAGUAGCUAUUAAGUGUAGAAUUAAACAAUUAUAACAUAUAAAUAGAUUAAAAAUUAGGACAAAAAAUCAAUCUAUUACAUAAAAUAUAAAUUAUGAAUGAAAACAAUCUAAAUUAUAGUCUGGCUAAUCAAACUAAAACUUACAUAUAACCAUAUGACUUUAAGGGUCUUGAAUAUGGUUACUUAAAAGCUUAUAGUUCAGCUUUUACCCACUACGUCAAGGCUUCAUUUACGUUUUUUUUAACCAUAUAUUUUUCAUAUAAUUAUAUAUAUAUAUUUUGCAUAAAAAAUCCCCAAGACGUUAAUUACUUCUAUAUAAUGUAGCGAUUAAGUCCUCAAACAAAAAUUGCUCAACAUCAAUGCAUGUAUAGAUCAAUUUUAUAUAUCAAAGACCAAUACUAUCUUUUUCUUAAAAAAAAAAAAAAACCAAUAUGUUGUGAUUGCUUAGCUAUUGUUCCUAAGUCUUCCUGAAAAAGGUUUCACAGCGAGAGGAGAAAAAAAAAAGUUGAACUUGUCUUGGUUUGCCCCAUAAUGAUUGAAGCAUAGACAAGAUUAUAAAUGUUAAUUUAGUAUACGACAUAAUAAUAUAAUAUAAUAUAUUUAAAUGUAUAUCUCCUCACCUCCUAGACGCUGUCAGUUAUUUUAUUUUUUGGGAUUCUUUUAACAAAAGGUUGAGCUUUUUAUUAGGUUUUAUUUGAUUUUUCAUUUAUUAAUAUAAUUUUUUUAUUUUUAUAUAUUUUAGUUAUUAUUAAUUUUUGUUGGAAAUUUGUACGGUCUUGUUCUAACAACAAUUACAACAAGCUUUUUGGAACAAUCAAAAGUUUUGGGUGUUGGCAUGUUUGACUUUUAAUGGCUUAUGUUUUAAUAUUAGUUAACAACAAAUGAUAAGAGAAUUUCAUGGUAAAUUAGAAUAUAAUUAUCAUCCAUUUGAUUAGUCUUGAAGAGGAAGGAGAGGAGUUUUAACUUUGGUGGACACCCAUCCUUAUCCUUGUCUUUUAGAGUGUUUGAAGCUAUUGGAGAACUUGGUUUUAAAGAUUUUAUUUGAUAAAUAUUCAAAAUAAUUAAUUUGAUAAUUUCAACUUUUAAAGGAGAGUUUAAAACUUAUCAAAAUAUUAUUUGAUAAACACUUGUAGAGGCGUAUAAAUAGGCAACAGUGUGGUGUAACUUUGUUUGUUGUUUUGGAGUGUCUUAAACUUUUAUUUUUUUGCUAUUCCAUUGGGUAACUUUAUGACACUCUCUUUUUAGGUAUUAUUUGGAGAUGUUUAGUAAUUGUAUUGUGAGGAAUUUGAGUGAGUGAUUGCAUUGAAGAAAUGCGACCUAAAUGUAUAUGUUAAACUCUUAUCUAGGACAUAAAUUCCAUGAACAAGGUACCCAUGUUAAUAACAUGUCACCACUUCGCAUCUUUAUGGUAUUGACCCUAUGUAGUUAGACCCUAUAUGACGUAAACAACACUUAUAGUGUGCACGAUAUCGUAGGCUUGAACGUUGAUUGAAUGCAACCUAUAUUUUGGUGCCUUUGUCGGAAAUGAUGUAUGCAUCGGGUUGCGGUACAAAUGCCUUCUCAGGUUAGUUAAGAAGAAAUCCCAUUCAUCAUUGGAUUCUUCAGGAGUUAUUACAAAAGCUAUUGGCAGGAUUUUUAGGUUACCAUCUUAUGCAACAACUACUAACAACCGAUGGUCGCAUAUUCUAUACAGGAAUGUGCCGUUAAUUUGGAAAAGUGGCUUACAGUACCAAAAUGUAGUUCUGCAUUGCUUAAAAGUCCAAAAGCAACGGUGGAAAACUCCUUUUCCAGGGACCAAGCAAUCGUCAUAAUACGCAGGCUCCAUUUUUAACUUGGUUACAGAACCUAGUAUGUACCACUCUAGUAUCUAACACCAUUGCCACAAUUUAUAGUAGGAUUUCUCCCACCCUCUAUUCAUUUUCUCCAAUGCCUUCUAUUUUUGCAACUAUGUCUUAUGCUAGGACAUGGUGUAAUCGGAUUCUCUACAGAUGUGUGCGAUCAAAAUUGGGACCAGAAUCGUAGGACUUGCUUUUGCCAUGGGUAAUAGAAUUUUAGAUAUCAUGUCUAAAUCUAAUUUUGGAUGAUCAUUCGAUAUGCUUGAAAAACAAGAAAUCAAGUCACUAUGUGUAAUAGAAUGUAAAAAAAGGCUAGGAUUCGAGUCGAUGUUGUUAGCCAUAUUACAUACCAGCUACAACACAUGUAUGUGGCACGAUAAAUUUCCUACGUUUAAAAUGCCAACUUCUUCGUCAUAAAUGCCAUGAUUUUCCAUAGACAUCUUGUUGCACGCAUUGUGCGCAUCGCCUUAUAUUUCUCGGAUUGAGAGCAUGUAAUAGUGAAGUUGACACCAAGUUGUAUGCUAUACUACUUGAUUGUAGCUACAAAAGCAUAUUUGGAGUCAAAUUCCAUCCCAACCUCUAAGUGGUCGAAAUUUGUUGAUGAAGUCGCAUACCUUAGUCUUCUACGGGGGAGGUCUGGGAAUUCUAAAACCACUUUCACUAGUAAGACUGAGAGUACGCAUAUGGGGUGGGGGUUUGUAUUUCGUGAAACUUAGGUCAUCCCCUCGAGCGAUGUCUAAAGCUUGACCAUUAGAUCCAUCGUCUUCUAGUUCAGUAGGAAUGGGAUCUAGUUCUAAAAUUACUACAAUUUCGCACCAUCCAGUCCAACCACCUCUCCUGGGUCAUUAUCUGAUUUAGACCCCUCUUUGACCACUUUGUUCUCUUGUCCCUCUUUGUUAUCAACCCUGGUUGUAAGUCCAGGGUUGGAUGUACCCUCUCUGGUCAAAGUUGUCAAGAGUAGAUCAUUCAUUCUUGUAAAUCCGAUGUCAAUCCCAAAAUCAAUUCUGUUUGGCCUACCCAGUAACUUGAUGGUGUACCAUAUGAGUGUUAUCGAGGUUGAACAUAGGUGUGUCAAAGUUGAAACCAAAGGCACUGAUAGAAUGUUGUGCGGCUGUGUUGUAGGCCUGGUGACCGAAUACGUCUAACUAUCCCCCGAAGUUGAAAUCGAGGGAUGAAAUCGAUGAAUGCCUCACCAUUGAUGAUGUUAAUAAUGUGUCUUUGUAUAAGCUUUGUAGAAAUGAUCUGAAUCCACAACAAAACCGUGUGGCCAGACUUUUUGCUUCUUGAUUUGGCUAGAAAUUUGGCGGACACGGUAUAAUCGAGCUUGGGCCACCUUUUUCCUCUUCAGCAAAGACUGUAUAUUCUCACUAGAGUAAUGAGUUUCGAUCACUGUCUUCAAACCGUUGUCCCCUGUGAUCUGAAAAAUGGAAUAUCUAACGGGGUUAAAUGAUGUUAGAUAUCUACAUUUCAGGCUCAAAAUUCUUCUUCAGAUCCCUACUUUAUGCCUAAACCUUGUUCAAAGCUCUUUUAACGUUAUGCUCUAGUUGAAUGUCAGAUCUUUAGAUUGGGUUGAUACAAAAAUGGGCUCAAUUUCAGCCUCACAAUUUUGACCGUUGUAAUGGACAAUAGCUCUGGCUCGUCUCCUCAUCUUGAACCAAAUAUUCUAUUCCACAUGUUUAAAAUCGAGAAAAUUGUAAAAAUAUAGUUCUCAUCACCCAAAUCCCUAAAUUUACACUUACUUUAAUGAAAUACCUUUGCUUCGACAAUAUUGUCAGUAUAAAAUUUUUGUUUUUUACUACAACAUCGAUAACUCCUAAUGCCAACAAUCUGCUUCAAACAUCUGUAUGGAAAAUCCAAGAAUUAUAUUGAGUUUUUUUAUAGAGCCUUUUCCUCGACGCACAUGAAACGAUUCUAGCAACAACACAUGUCAAGGCAUUAGUUGUUUUUGAGGUAUACACUAAAAAUUAAAAUUUGUGGGGGAGAAAACGUUCCCCGCAACGAUGUUUUUCAGCACCUAGACAUAGCAUUGAAAUUUAUCCUAGGAAUCCCGGGUUGUAGGGGCUUAGAGGUUGAAGCAAUCAAGUUGGCUUGGGUAUUGAAAGACCAUAAAGAAAAUGCCUAUUGCAGGAAGCAUUUCCACCUGACUUGGCAAUCAAAAUGCCUCCUGCAGGACGCGUUUUCCAGCCACAUCUCUGAUAUGUUAGUCGAAAACGCAUCUUGCAAGAGGCGUUUGUACUGCCAUGUUAGGUAAAAACACUUCCUGCAGGGAACAUUUUCUUUAUGGCCAUUUCAACACCCAGGCCAACUUAAUUGCUUCUGCCUCUGAGCCCUUACAACACGGGAUUCUCGGGAUAAAAAAAUUUCCCUUUUUACCCCACCCCAUCCCUUAUAUAAAUGCAUGUUCUCAUCCCCUACUCACCCAUAUCUCAGUCUCCUUUAAAUUAUUUUUUUCUUUUUCUUCCGUGUUGAAAUUUUCAAGUUUAAAGAUUUAUUUCUCUCACACUUUGAGGGGGAUGUAAUCAUAGUUUUAAGUUGUGUUUGAGUUCACAAUAAUGUCGUGGCGCUUGAUAACUUACAAAUUUCACUUGUCGUGUGAGUAUGGAGCCAUCACUUGAGAAAUCGAGAUCGCUUUGCAACUCGAGGUCCAAGUUGACGGUGUAAAUAAGGCUUCAAGUUUACAAAGGUUAUGCUAUUAAAAGGAUGGAGCAAAACCGGGACUGUAGUUGAUGAUGGUGAUGCAAGCACAAGAACUAGUUUUUCCUCAUUGGAAGAGCAUACUUUAUAAAAUCCAUAUACAAGUACGAGGGAGAAAAUCACAGGGGUCUUCCAGUAUAAUCAAGUAAUUCAUUUUAUCCUUUUCCAGCAAAGGCAAUGACCCUGUUACUAAAACCUAUUACAUCCCAAUUCUAUCAUAGGUAAUAGUAACGGUGUCACUGUCUUUGGUGGAGAUGGAUAAAAAAAUUUACUUAAUUAUACUGAGAUACCAUUGCAUUUUUCUUCCUCGUACUUGUGUAUGAGUUUUAUAAAGCAUCAUUUUCUAAUGAAAAAAGUUUUUUGUCGUGCCCGCAUAACCAUUGUAAAUUACAGCUCCAAUCAUACUCCGUCCUUUGAUAGCGUAACAUUUUGUAAACUUGAAGCUCUAGUUACACUUCAAUUUCAGACCGUAUAAUCACCCUUAACUGGGACCAUGAGUUGCAAUGCGAUCUGGCUUCUCGGGUGAUGGCUCCAUACUCACAUGACAAAUGAAAUUUGUAGGUCACCUAACUCCACGACACCACCAUAAAUUCAAACAUUCCUUAAAACUAUAACAGUGUCUAUCUCAAACAAGAAUGAAAAUAAAUGUUCAAACUUCUAAUUUCAAAUUGCAAGAAAAAAAAAAGAAAAAAAUAAAUUUUAGCAAAGUAAAAAUGGGUCCUACCGGCACAUUUUCAUUGCCACAUCAAUGAAAAUACACCUCGUACGACACGUUAUUCUUUCUUCGUAAACAAUGUAAAUCAAUAAAUUUAAAAAAAAAUUAUACAUUCUCAAAUAACUCUUUUUUUCAGCAUUUUUGUUAAAUUUAUCCCAUAAUACUGCUACUUCUUGUUUCCUGGGUUAUUUUUAUUACUGCUGGUUGUACCACCCUCCUACUGUGCGCCGGUUAUAGCAACUCACUCAAGAUUCUAAAUACUAAUAUAAACACCAUUUCUUUUAUUCUUAGUUUUUUUAGUGAUUAACGUGGUUUUAAUUAUCGUUAGAUCACGUGGGUGUUUAUAUGAAAUGCUUGAAAUCGUCACGCAGGACAAAAAAAAAAAAGAAAAAGAAAAGGAAAUGAAGAGUAUAUAUAUAGAGGAAACAACUAGUGAGAGUGAUAUUAAUAUUUAGAGUAGGUAAAGAUAGUAUUAUAUAGUCGCAUAUGCGACCUUGUACAUUACCACUAACUCUAAAACUAGGAUAACUCCAACAAUGAAUAGUACCGCUAUGGAUUUUUAACAUUCAUUUUUAUUCUGUCGACAUCACUAUUUCCCUUCCAUUAGCUGAUCCCAACUUCCAUGACCACACUUCACUUAAUGCUGCAAAUGCAACCACACCAAACAAAACAUUCAUAAAUUAAUAAAUCAAUUGCCAUAAGCGAUAAACUUUGGGUCAUUUUCUUUUUCCGUAAUUUCAAAGAAACCUAGUUUAAAUUAGAUACGAACCUUUUGCAGUCAGUGGAAGGGCUGAUCUUGUAAGGGAUGUUGAUACCGCACUUGCCUGGGAGUCCGGCUGCAGUGCUAUAGUUGAUGCCAGAAAUGCCGGUGGCCGCACUUUUGAUGCAGCUGCAAGCUGCUUGCCGGUCUGGUGUUGUUUUGGCGGCAGAGUUGAGAGAUCUGAUGCCGUUGCAGCAAGCUGGGGGAGCAGAACCAGCACCAUUCCCUUUCAAGUAAGCAAUGCAGGGUGCGAGGGCGCUUGUGAUUUGACCACAACUUAUGGCCCCUUGAGCCAGGGGUGCACCCACCACCAUGCAAAACACCACCACACAUGUAAGCUUAAGGGACAUUGAGCUAGCCAUAUCAAUUAGUCACAAGAAAACAAACUUGUAAGGAAAAUGCUCGCUUGGAGUAG
rnacentral:lncRNA from 1 species